rnacentral:rRNA from 1 species
CAUGGCGUUAGGUUCAUUACUGACAA